CAUUAAGCACUCCGCCUGGGGAGUACGACCGCAAGGUUGAAACUCAAAGGAAUUGACGGGGGCCCGCACAAGCGGUGGAGCAUGUGGUUUAAUUCGAAGCAACGCGAAGAACCUUACCAGGUCUUGACAUCCUUUGACCACUCUGGAGACAGAGCUUUCCCUUCGGGGACAAAGUGACAGGUGGUGCAUGGUUGUCGUCAGCUCGUGUCGUGAGAUGUUGGGUUAAGUCCCGCAACGAGCGCAACCCUUGAUUUUAGUUGCCAGCAUUUAGUUGGGCACUCUAAAGUGACUGCCGGUGCAAGCCGGAGGAAGGUGGGGAUGACGUCAAAUCAUCAUGCCCCUUAUGACCUGGGCUACACACGUGCUACAAUGGAUAGUACAAAGGGUCGCGAAGCCGCGAGGUGGAGCUAAUCCCAUAAAACUAUUCUCAGUUCGGAUUGUAGGCUGCAACUCGCCUACAUGAAGCCGGAAUCGCUAGUAAUCGUGGAUCAGCAUGCCACGGUGAAUACGUUCCCGGGCCUUGUACACACCGCCCGUCACACCACGAGAGUUUGUAACACCCGAAGUCGGUAGGGUAACCUUUAUGGAGCCAGCCGCCGAAGGUGGGACAGAUAAUUGGGGUGAAGUCGUAACAAGGUAGCCGUAUCGGAAGGUGCGGCUGGAUCACCUCCUUU
rnacentral:rRNA from 1 species